CCUCCAUGGAGAUUUCAUUAAGGUUUACAUUCUAAGUUAACAGUUUUGGUUCAGGGCCUGUUGAUCAGGCUUCAACACUUCCACCCUUUACAUCAGGAUAGGUGGUUUAUUAUAACUUAGUAUAAUACCUG